AUUGAACGCUGGCGGCAGGCCUAACACAUGCAAGUCGAACGAGUGGCGGACGGGUGAGUAAUGUCUGGGAAACUGCCUGAUGGCGGGGGAUAACUACUGGAAACGGUAGCUAAUACCGCAUACUAUCGGAUCUGCCCAGUUGGGAUUACCUAGUGGGUGGGGUAACGGCUCACCUAGGCGACGAUCCCUAGCUGGUCUGAGAGGAUGACCAGCCACACUGGAACUGAGCAACGGUCCAGACUCCUACGGGAGGCAGCAGUGGGGAAUAUUGGACAAUGGGCGCAAGCCUGAUGCAGCCAUGCCGCGUGUAUGAAGAAGGCCUUCGGGUUGUAAAGUACUUUCAGCGGGGAGGCGUUACCCGCAGAAGAAGCACCGGCUAACUCCGUGCCAGCAGCCGCGGUAAUAC
rnacentral:rRNA from 1 species